CAAUACCGUGAGGUGGAGCAAAACUCAAAAAAUGAUCUCAGUUCGGACUGUAGGCUGCAACUCGCCUACACGAAGUUGGAAUUGCUAGUGAUCGUGGAUCAGCAUGCCACGGUGAAUACGUUCCCGGGUCUUGUACACACCGCCCGUCACACCAUGGGAGCUGGUAACACCCGAAGUCAGUAGUCUAACCGCAAGGAGGACGCUGCCGAAGGUGGGAUUAGCGACUGGGGUGAAGUCGUAACAAGGUACC
rnacentral:rRNA from 1 species